UAUGUCAUAUCCUUUGUUAUAGACAAUUCACCUAUGUCAAUUACAAUCCUAAAGGCUACAAGUAUGGCUCACAAGUUGGAGUAAUUAUCAAACGGCUUUAUCCUGGUGAGAUCAAAAUCUGUGAUGAUGAAGGCAGGGUUGUUGAAACACGGGCGGCAUUGUCAUGGCAUGAUUACUUCUACAAAAAGGAUGAACUUGGUUUGACAUAUGCCAGACGAGUAAAGCAGGAAUUCUGGAGUUUGUUCACAACCACUCGAGCUGGUGUAAGAAGAGCCAGCCGUAAUUUGGAGACAUAUCUUGUGAAAAGAGUAUCUGAUCUGAUCUAUCAAGCCCGUUUGGAUGCUGUAAAGAAGCAUGAGGGCUGUGAUGAUAAUCAAGCACGCGAUAUAGAACUUACAGAAGAACAAUACUUAAAGUGCAGACCUGAUUGGGGCACCAGGGAAGGUUGGGCAGCCUUAUGCAAGUACUGGAUCAGUGAGAAGUACAAGGAAAAGAGGAGAGCAGCUUGAGCAGCACGCCUAAAAUCUGUUGACGUUGCUCAGAAUAGAGGUGGUUCAAGGCCAUGGGCAGAAACACAACAAUUGCUGGAGCAUAAAUUUGGUCCAGAGAAGGCUGGCACUUUAAACACAUAUGCAGUGAUGAAAUCUGGAUUCAAAAAUGUGGAUAGCACUAGAAAAAGUGCUCCAAUCCCCAGCCAAAAAGCACAAAAGCGCUUGGUAUGUAUGCCAUGCUUAACAUUUUGAUAUGAACUUUUUCUAGUCAUGCUUAGCACACUGGUAUUUCAUUUUAGGAUGAGUACAAUGCAAGAGCAAUGCUUGCUGAGAAUUCAAAGGAUUUAGAUGCACACACUUUGUAUCACAUGGAAGGUGGUUUGCCCCAUGGUCGUGUACCAAUAGCUGAUGGUGCAGUGGAUAAGGAAGAGGUUAGAGUAGUUGCAAAAUCCAAUAAUCUACGUCCAGUCAAUACUGCUUCUUAUCGAACUGUGGUGGAUGAAAAUGAUGAGCUAAAGGAGAUGAAUAAGGAGUUGAGGGAGAUUAAUCGGGAUCUAAAGCAAAACAAUGUUGAAUUGACGGAGAAAAUGAGAUACUCA